rnacentral:rRNA from 1 species
CCUCGGGACGAGGACAACCCCGGGAAACUGGGGCUAAUCCCCGAUAGGUGAGGAGGCCUGGAAUGGCUCUUCACUUAAAGGGCGUUGGGACCAUGCUUUCCAUCGUCGCCCGAGGAUGGGGCCGCGGCCGAUCAGGUUGUUGGUGUGGUAACGGCUCACCAAGCCUUUAACCGGUACGGGCCAUGAGAGUGGGAGCCCGGAGAUGGGCACUUAGACAAGGGCCCAGGCCCUACGGGGCGCAGCAGUUGCGAAAACUCCGCAAUGCGCGAAAGCGUGACGGGGUUAUCCCGAGUGCCAUCCGCUGAGGACGGCUUUUCUCUGGUGUAAUGAGCCGGAGGAAUAAGAGGAGGGCAAGACUGGCGUCAGCCGCCGCGGUAAUACCAGCUCCUCGAGUGGUAGGGAUGAUUAUUGGGCUUAAAGCGUCCGUAGCCGGCCCGGUAAGUCCUCCGUUAAAUCCAGCGAUUUAAUCGCUGGGCCGCGGAAGAUACUGCCGAGCUAGGGGGCGGAAGAGGCCGACGGUAUUCUCGGGGUAGGGGUGAAAUCCUAUAAUCCUGAGAGGACCACCAGUGGCGUAGGCGGUCGGCUAGUACGCGCUCGACGGUGAGGGACGAAAGCUGGGGGAGCGAACCGGAUUAGAUACCCGGGUAGUCCCAGCCGUAAACGAUGCGGACUAGGUGUCGGGGUGGUUACGAACC